AUGAUCGUUGUGGUCCUGUUGUUCUCGGCUGUCUAUUCUCAAAGGAAACCAGAUUUUGGAGCACUCACAGCCUGUGUAAACAAAAAUCACAGCCUAACAGUUGAUUGUUUUUACCCAACUUGUGACAACACACCUUUUGACUGCGACCUUUAUGAUGUUGAGCAAAACACAAGAACUCUAAUUGGCAGCUCAUAUAAGAAACUGGUAAACAACACUGUUUCAUUCUUAAAUGCUACCUCUGGACAGUGUCGACUCAUUAUCAAUGAUCACGCCCAGAUUUACCGUAACCAGACCAAGACUUAUGUAUGCGCUCUGACACGGAGGACAAGUAAAGAAAAUAAGACACUCACUGUGAAAUACACUGGCACAAGAAAAGAGCGACCAAAGGACUGCCCUGCAGGUGGACCAUUACUACAUGUCUCAAAAUUGCUGUGGUUAAUAGCAUUUAUUUUCUCCCAAGAAACAUACUUGUAAAAUCAAACAUCCCUCAGUAUCUUCAGUAUCUACAACAAGCCUUUAUGGGUGCUUCUUUAACUAUGUGCAUUAGGUCCGGUGUCUAAAAGCACACUAAUAAUAUGCUAAUAAUGUUCAAAGGUGUAUGCAUGCAUCAUAAACAUUUGUCACAUUGUCACCACAUCUCAAGUUAUGUAUCAUGUUUAACAUUUUGUCAUGAAAAUGACAUUUUUGGAAUAAAAUGACUGACCCUUGUGUCUUCCUGAAGCA
ensembl:lncRNA